CCGCUCGCUCUCUCUCUACAUUUUCUCGUUCCGCAGAGAAAGAAACGCGGAAACAACGACGAAGAAGACGACGACGACGAUUUAUGAUUCAAAAGUCCCUCAAGUCUCACUGUCCAUACAACUCAUUUUCAGCACAAUAUACAUAUAUAUAUUAUAUAUAAUUUCAGCACUCAAAAAAUAAAGAAAAUACAAAAAAUAAACGGGGUAAAAAAAUAAAAUUAAAAUACCUCUUUGCUUUCCUUGCCUUUGACCGAAUCGAGGAUGGGGAAUUCGCUUGGCUCAUUCGUUCAAUUUCAGGUCUUGCACGCUGACAGGAUCUGUUUUGGCUGGUAUUGAAGGCAGAUGGCGGUUUUCAGUUUCUACAAACUUAUAUAAAAUCUUGAAGCCUCAAGACUUGCUAGUGUGUGCUGUCAAAUUCUGAGAUUAGGAUGGGUUGUGGGUGUUCCAACCUCUCCGCGUGUUGUUGGGGCCCAGAAGUUGACGGACCAGUUCUUGAGACCCAAAGUGUGGAAAAUGAGGAGAGCAAUGAACUUGAUUUGCCUGCAUUUCAUGAAUACACAAUCGAGCAACUUAGGAUGGCGACAUCUGGAUUCGCUGUGGAGAAUAUAGUUUCUGAACACGGGGAAAAGGCCCCAAAUGUGGUUUACAAAGGGAAGCUUGAGGAUCAAAGACGGAUAGCUGUCAAAAGAUUCAACAGAUCAGCUUGGCCUGAUACCCGACAAUUUUUGGAAGAAGCAAGGGCUGUUGGGCAGCUCCGGAACACCCGAUUGGCAAAUUUACUUGGUUGUUGCUGUGAAAGUGACGAGAGACUGCUUGUUGCUGAAUAUAUGCCCAAUGAUACACUGGCAAAGCAUUUAUUCCAUUGGGAAACACAACCCAUGAAGUGGGCAAUGCGGUUAAGGGUGGCUUUAUAUCUUGCACAGGCCCUUGAAUAUUGUACCAGUAAAGGACGUGCCCUUUAUCAUGAUUUAAAUGCAUAUAGAAUUGUCUUUGAUGAUGAUUGUAACCCUAGACUUUCAUGCUUUGGUCUGAUGAAAAACAGUAGAGAUGGAAAAAGCUACAGUACAAACCUGGCAUUUACUCCUCCUGAGUAUCUAAGGACAGGAAGAGUUACCGCAGAAAGUGUAAUGUAUAGCUUUGGCACCCUUUUGCUUGACCUCCUCAGUGGAAAACAUAUUCCUCCGAGCCAUGCACUCGACCUUAUUCGCGACAGGAAUCUUCAGAUGCUAACAGAUUCUUGUUUGGAAGGCCAAUUCUCAAAUGACGAGGGAACAGAAUUAGUCCGUUUGGCUUCAAGAUGUUUGCAAUAUGAACCGCGAGAGCGUCCUAAUCCAAAGUCAUUAGUUGCUGCCUUGGUUCCUCUUCAGAAGGACACAGAGGUUCCUUCUCAUGUAUUGAUGGGUAUACCACAUGGUGCAGCAGCUUUACCUAAUCUAUCACCAUUUGGUGAAGCUUGUGUGAGGACGGAUUUAACGGCCAUACAUGAGAUCAUAGAAAGUAUUGGAUACAAGGAUGAUGAAGGUGCAGCAACUGAGCUUUCAGCUUUCAUUCCAGAUGUGGACCAACCAGAUGCAGGAGACAUUGAACUCAAAGAAAAAGGGUGAUGUUGCUUUCCGUCAUAAAGAUUUCAGAGCUGCAAUUGAGUGCUACGCCCAGUUUAUUGAUGUCGGAACCAUGGUUUCCCCGACAGUUUUUGCACGCCGUAGCUUGUCAUACCUCAUGAAUGAUAUGCCACAGGAAGCCUUGAAUGAUGCGGCACAAGCCCAAGUGAUUUUCCCUGUUUGGCACAUUGCCUUGUAUUUGCAAGCUGCAGCACUUUUUGCACUUGGAAAGAAUGACGAGGCACAGGUAGCCCUCAAAGAGGGUAGUGUACUUGAAAGUAAAAGGAAUGCAAGUGCUUGACGGUUAGCUGCUAAAGGUCGAACAUGAAUCUCUUUCCUUUGUAUUGAACCGCUCUUUUCCGGGAAGAUGAGCACCGGACAGGGACUCUUAGUCAGGAGGUUAAUCAGUCAUCGAGUAGGCCGCAGAGACGGAACAGAAGCAAGUCAUUAAUCUUCUAUUGCAUGACUGGUUCGUGCGUUGUGGAUGUUGAAGCAUUCAUUGGCAAAAUUUACUGGACGGGUUGGUUUGGUCUCUUUUGUUUAUGACGAAUUUGCCCUUCAUUGUUGUUCAAAUUACCUGUUUCCAAUACAAGAAUGUUGGGGAAAUAAUCACAUCAUAUGAUGCAUUUGAAACGUUAUAUAUAUUUUGUAAAGGAUUUAAUCUUCUGUUGUUUUGAUCUUGCAUUGAAAAAGGUGAAGAGAACUGCUGACAAUGGCAUGCUUGUAAUUUCCCUGCUUUUUUACUUUUUUAUUUAUAUAUAUUUUUUUGAAAUAAAAUUUGUUGUUUAUUGUGCGCAAA